GCUACUUCCGCGCUUCAUCACACUGCGAACUGCUUCUUCCGGGUAGUGGAAUUAUGGGAACACACACGACUGCAAAGUGUCGGACAACUUCUUGAAAAGAGGCUGAGGGACGAUGCCACACAGAGAGCUGAAGUUGACUCGGGUUUAUUGCCGGGUAAGGUGAAUUGAAGACGGGUGAAACAAUCCAGGUAACAGGUAACGUAACAUCCACAGGUGAGUACAAAUAACAGGUACCAUCCACGGGUAAUAUAAUCCAAAUAACAGGUAACAUUCACGGGUAAAUAUAAUCCAAAUAACAGGUAACAUUCACGGGUAAAUAUCAUCCAAAUAACAGGUAACAUUCACGGGUAAUAAAGAUUGGUCCAACUCGUACACAGAACAUAACACAACUAGACCUGACCCUAGAUAGUAUAGAACACAUGGUUUAUGAAGUGUGCUGGGAAUGACGAUCAGGUGAGGGUGUUUUCAUGCUUAUAAUCGGGUGUAAGGGAUUAUGGGAAGUGUAGUCUGUGAAUGGGAGCGGGUGAAGCUGGUCGCUGAUGCGGGGGGCGUGUCUGGCUGCGUCGGAGUUGUUGCACUUAUAACUUCUUACAAAGAGGUGUGUUUUUUAUUUAUUUGUUUAUUCAAAUAAAGAUCACAGUGUAAAUCACAUAAUGAAAAGGUAACCAUGGGUUGUUAUUAUUAUAUAAACAUGACAGUUGCUUGUAAUAAGCAAAAAGACAACAAUAUAAACAUAGAAAACCAAAAAUGUAAUAUUACUGUUGUUAUUCGAAAUAAUAAUAAAGACCACUUUGCAAGAUGUAAACACUGGUCCAGAGGCGCUUCCGGUUGAAUAAUUAUUUAUUUCAUUUUUAAAUCUUAAAUCAUACAUAAUUAAAUCUUAACUAUAUACGUUUAACAUUUUGAGGAGGUUAUAAAUGUUAUGUUUGUUGUAUUUUGUUAAAACGUUAGCUAACUGAAAGUAAAACAGGAAGUGCUUCUGGACCAGCAUUGAACCAGCGUUGUUUACGUAACAAAUAAAGAUUUAUAACAAAGAGAAUAACAUGUCAUAUUUUUCUUUAAAAGUCUUAUGGUGGCAUGACGAGAUCCCAUUCAGAGAUUCCAGAGGUUCAUGUUUUUGCUCUAGUUGUUUUUGUUUUUCAGUGUGAACUUUGAAAAGCAGCUUGACCAGCUUCCUCAGACUCUUUCAUCACUCCUUUGAGAACAGCACAUGUAUGCCACUGCAACAGCGAGCCGCAGACGUGCAGAAUGGAGCGAUGAAGAUAUUCACCACACUCAUCCACAGUGACCUUACACAGGGCAAGCAUGUAUGGCACACCUGGAUACAUGGCAUCACACACCUGAUGGCAUGGACCAGUAAGAAUAAGUUUGAUAUGCAUGCACGCCAGAAGGGCAAAGAGACAGCCACAGAGACAAGAGACGGGAACAGCACACAGGGCCGUCAGACAGCGGUAGCCCCACAGCCUCAUUGCCUCGAAGGCGAUCCCGCUGUAAAUCCACACACGA